rnacentral:rRNA from 1 species
GAUGAACGCUAGCGGCAGGCCUAAUACAUGCAAGUCGAACGGUGUCUUCGGACAUAGUGGCGCACGGGUGCGUAACACGUAUGCAACCUACCUUACAUUGGGGGAUAGCCUUUCGAAAGGGAGAUUAAUACCGCAUAAGACAGUAGCUGGGCAUCCAGCAGCUGUUAAAGAUUUAUCGAUGUAAGCUGGGCAUGCGUCCAAUUAGCUAGUUGGUGAGGUAACGGCUCACCAAGGCAAUGAUUGGUAGGGGAACUGAGAGGUCAAUCCCCCACACUGGCACUGAGAUACGGGCCAGACUCCUACGGGAGGCAGCAGUAGGUAAUAUUGAGCAAUGGACGCAAGUCUGACCCAGCCAUGCCGCGUGCAGGAUGAAGGCGUUAUGCGUUGUAAACUGCUUUUAUACAGGAAGAAACGACUCUUGCGAGAGGCAUUGACGGUACUGUAUGAAUAAGCACCGGCUAACUCCGUGCCAGCCGCCGCGGUAAGAC